UACGGGGGGGGGCAAGCGUUGUUCGGAAUUACUGGGCGUAAAGGGCUCGUAGGCGGCCAACUAAGUCGGAUGUGAAAUCCCCAGGCUCAACUUGGGAACUGCAUCCGAUACUGGAUGGCUUGAAUUCGGGAGAGGGAUGCGGAAUUCCAGGUGUAGCGGUGAAAUGCGUAGAUAUCUGGAGGAACACCGGUGGCGAAGGCGGCAUCCUGGACCAAUAUUGACGCUGAGGAGCGAAAGCUAGGGGAGCAAACGGG
rnacentral:rRNA from 1 species